rnacentral:rRNA from 1 species
GUGGGGAAUCUUGCGCAAUGGGCGAAAGCCUGACGCAGCCAUGCCGCGUGAAUGAUGAAGGUCUUAGGAUUGUAAAAUUCUUUCACCGGGGACGAUAAUGACGGUACCCGGAGAAGAAGCUCCGGCUAACUUCGUGCCAGCAGCCGCGGUAAUACGAAGGGGGCUAGCGUUGCUCGGAAUUACUGGGCGUAAAGGGCGCGUAGGCGGACAGCUUAGUCAGAGGUGAAAGCCCAGGGCUCAACCUUGGAAUUGCCUUUGAUACUGGCUGUCUUGAGUUUGGGAGAGGUGAGUGGAACUCCGAGUGUAGAGGUGAAAUUCAUAGAUAUUCGGAGGAACACCAGUGGCGAAGGCGGCUCACUGGCUCGAUACUGACGCUGAGGUGCGAAAGCGUGGGGAGCAAACAGGAUUAGAAACCCGGGUAGUCC